rnacentral:rRNA from 1 species
GACGAACGCUGGCGGCGUGCUUAACACAUGCAAGUCGAACGGAAAGGCCCUGCUUUUGUGGGGUGCUCGAGUGGCGAACGGGUGAGUAACACGUGAGUAACCUGCCCUUGACUUUGGGAUAACUUCAGGCAACUGGGGCUAAUACCGGAUAGGAGCUCCUGCUGCAUGGUGGGGGUUGGAAAGUUUCGGCGGUUGGGGAUGGACUCGCGGCUUAUCAGCUUGUUGGUGGGGUAGUGGCUUACCAAGGCUUUGACGGGUAGCCGGCCUGAGAGGGUGACCGGCCACAUUGGGACUGAGAUACGGCCCAGACUCCUACGGGAGGCAGCAGUGGGGAAUAUUGCACAAUGGGCGGAAGCCUGAUGCAGCAACGCCGCGUGCGGGAUGACGGCCUUCGGGUCGUAAACCGCUUUCGCCUGUGACGAAGCGUGAGUGACGGUAAUGGGUAAAGAAGCACCGGCUAACUACGUG